ACCUGGGUGGCUCAGUUGGUUGAGCAUCUGACUUCAGCCCAGGUCAGGAACUCAUGGUUUGUGGGUUCGAGCCCCACGUCGGGGG
rnacentral:tRNA from 1 species